rnacentral:rRNA from 1 species
GCAUCGAUGAAGAACGCAGCGAAAUGCGAUAAUUAAUGUGAAUUGCAGAAUUCAGUGAAUCAUCGAGUCUUUGAACGCACAUUGCGCCCCCUGGUAUUCCGGGGGGCAUGCCUGUCCGAGCGUCAUU